UACGAGGGGGGCAAGCGUUGUUCGGAAUUAUUGGGCGUAAAGGGUGCGUAGGUGGCCUUAUAAGUCAGUGGUGAAAGCCUGCAGCUUAACUGUAGGACUGCCAUUGAUACUGUAGGGCUUGAGUACUGAUGAGGUAGGCGGAAUUGAUAGUGUAGCGGUGAAAUGCAUAGAUAUUAUCAAGAACACCGAUUGCGAAGGCAGCUUACUAAGGAGUUACUGACACUGAGGCACGAAAGCGUGGGGAUCAAACAGG
rnacentral:rRNA from 1 species